rnacentral:rRNA from 1 species
UACGUAGGGUGCGAGCGUUAAUCGGAAUUACUGGGCGUAAAGCGUGCGCAGGCGGUUUUGUAAGCCAGAUGUGAAAUCCCCGGGCUCAACCUGGGAAUGGCAUUUGGGACUGCAAGGCUGGAGUACGGCAGAGGAGACUGGAAUUCCGUGGUGUAGCAGUGAAAUGCGUAGAUAUCAGGAGGAAUACCGAUGGCGAAGGCAGGUCUCUGGGCUGAUACUGACGCUCAUGCACGAAAGCGUGGG